GACUGGGAUAGCUCAGUUGGUAGAGCUUGAGACUCCAAAAUUCAGGGUCGUGGGUUUGAGCCCCAUGUUGGGCA